rnacentral:tRNA from 1 species
AAAACAUUAGCUCAGUUGGCGAGAGCGCUUGCAUUGGUAAUGCGAGAGGUCGGCGGUUCGAGCCCGUCAUGCU